rnacentral:rRNA from 1 species
GGUUAAGCGACUAAGCGUACACGGUGGAUGCCCUGGCAGUCAGAGGCGAUGAAGGACGUGCUAAUCUGCGAUAAGCGUCGGUGAGGUGAUAUGAACCGUUAUAACCGGCGAUUUCCGAAUGGGGAAACCCAGUGUGUUUCGACACACUAUCAUUAACUGAAUCCAUAGGUUAAUGAGGCGAACCGGGGGAACUGAAACAUCUAAGUACCCCGAGGAAAAGAAAUCAACCGAGAUUCCCCCAGUAGCGGCGAGCGAACGGGGAGGAGCCCAGAGCCUGAAUCAGUGUGUGUGUUAGUGGAAGCGUCUGGAAAGGCGUGCGAUACAGGGUGACAGCCCCGUACACAAAAAUGCACAUAUUGUGAGCUCGAUGAGUAGGGCGGGACACGUGGUAUCCUGUCUGAAUAUGGGGGGACCAUCCUCCAAGGCUAAAUACUCCUGACUGACCGAUAGUGAACCAGUACCGUGAGGGAAAGGCGAAAAGAACCCCGGCGAGGGGAGUGAAAAAGAACCUGAAACCGUGUACGUACAAGCAGUGGGAGCCUCUUAAUGGGGUGACUGCGUACCUUUUGUAUAAUGGGUCAGCGACUUAUAUUCUGUAGCAAGGUUAACCGAAUAGGGGAGCCGAAGGGAAACCGAGUCUUAACUGGGCGUUAAGUUGCAGGGUAUAGACCCGAAACCCGGUGAUCUAGCCAUGGGCAGGUUGAAGGUUGGGUAACACUAACUGGAGGACCGAACCGACUAAUGUUGAAAAAUUAGCGGAUGACUUGUGGCUGGGGGUGAAAGGCCAAUCAAACCGGGAGAUAGCUGGUUCUCCCCGAAAGCUAUUUAGGUAGCGCCUCGUGAAUUCAUCUCCGGGGGUAGAGCACUGUUUCGGCAAGGGGGUCAUCCCGACUUACCAACCCGAUGCAAACUGCGAAUACCGGAGAAUGUUAUCACGGGAGACACACGGCGGGUGCUAACGUCCGUCGUGAAGAGGGAAACAACCCAGACCGCCAGCUAAGGUCCCAAAGUCAUGGUUAAGUGGGAAACGAUGUGGGAAGGCCCAGACAGCCAGGAUGUUGGCUUAGAAGCAGCCAUCAUUUAAAGAAAGCGUAAUAGCUCACUGGUCGAGUCGGCCUGCGCGGAAGAUGUAACGGGGCUAAACCAUGCACCGAAGCUGCGGCAGCGACGCUUAUGCGUUGUUGGGUAGGGGAGCGUUCUGUAAGCCUGUGAAGGUGUGCUGUGAGGCAUGCUGGAGGUAUCAGAAGUGCGAAUGCUGACAUAAGUAACGAUAAAGCGGGUGAAAAGCCCGCUCGCCGGAAGACCAAGGGUUCCUGUCCAACGUUAAUCGGGGCAGGGUGAGUCGACCCCUAAGGCGAGGCCGAAAGGCGUAGUCGAUGGGAAACAGGUUAAUAUUCCUGUACUUGGUGUUACUGCGAAGGGGGGACGGAGAAGGCUAUGUUGGCCGGGCGACGGUUGUCCCGGUUUAAGCGUGUAGGCUGGUUUUCCAGGCAAAUCCGGAAAACCAAGGCUGAGGCGUGAUGACGAGGCACUACGGUGCUGAAGCAACAAAUGCCCUGCUUCCAGGAAAAGCCUCUAAGCAUCAGGUAACAUCAAAUCGUACCCCAAACCGACACAGGUGGUCAGGUAGAGAAUACCAAGGCGCUUGAGAGAACUCGGGUGAAGGAACUAGGCAAAAUGGUGCCGUAACUUCGGGAGAAGGCACGCUGAUAUGUAGGUGAAGCGACUUGCUCGUGGAGCUGAAAUCAGUCGAAGAUACCAGCUGGCUGCAACUGUUUAUUAAAAACACAGCACUGUGCAAACACGAAAGUGGACGUAUACGGUGUGACGCCUGCCCGGUGCCGGAAGGUUAAUUGAUGGGGUUAGCGGCAACGCGAAGCUCUUGAUCGAAGCCCCGGUAAACGGCGGCCGUAACUAUAACGGUCCUAAGGUAGCGAAAUUCCUUGUCGGGUAAGUUCCGACCUGCACGAAUGGCGUAAUGAUGGCCAGGCUGUCUCCACCCGAGACUCAGUGAAAUUGAACUCGCUGUGAAGAUGCAGUGUACCCGCGGCAAGACGGAAAGACCCCGUGAACCUUUACUAUAGCUUGACACUGAACAUUGAGCCUUGAUGUGUAGGAUAGGUGGGAGGCUUUGAAGUGUGGACGCCAGUCUGCAUGGAGCCGACCUUGAAAUACCACCCUUUAAUGUUUGAUGUUCUAACGUUGGCCCGUAAUCCGGGUUGCGGACAGUGUCUGGUGGGUAGUUUGACUGGGGCGGUCUCCUCCUAAAGAGUAACGGAGGAGCACGAAGGUUGGCUAAUCCUGGUCGGACAUCAGGAGGUUAGUGCAAUGGCAUAAGCCAGCUUGACUGCGAGCGUGACGGCGCGAGCAGGUGCGAAAGCAGGUCAUAGUGAUCCGGUGGUUCUGAAUGGAAGGGCCAUCGCUCAACGGAUAAAAGGUACUCCGGGGAUAACAGGCUGAUACCGCCCAAGAGUUCAUAUCGACGGCGGUGUUUGGCACCUCGAUGUCGGCUCAUCACAUCCUGGGGCUGAAGUAGGUCCCAAGGGUAUGGCUGUUCGCCAUUUAAAGUGGUACGCGAGCUGGGUUUAGAACGUCGUGAGACAGUUCGGUCCCUAUCUGCCGUGGGCGCUGGAGAACUGAGGGGGGCUGCUCCUAGUACGAGAGGACCGGAGUGGACGCAUCACUGGUGUUCGGGUUGUCAUGCCAAUGGCACUGCCCGGUAGCUAAAUGCGGAAGAGAUAAGUGCUGAAAGCAUCUAAGCACGAAACUUGCCCCGAGAUGAGUUCUCCCUGACUCCUUGAGAGUCCUGAAGGAACGUUGAAGACGACGACGUUGAUAGGCCGGGUGUGUAAGCGCAGCGAUGCGUUGAGCUAACCGGUACUAAUGAACCGUGAGGCUUAACCUU